ensembl:lncRNA
UUUUCCCCUCUCCCUCUGUGCGCACUGAACCAGCACAAAUUCAGUUUUAUUGUAUUUGUUUGUUUAUUUACUCUUAUCUCCUUUCCAUUUCAGAGGCUCCCUAUCUGAGACCUGCAAACCUAAGAAGCCGAGUGGCAGGGGAGCCGCGGGUUUACAUUUGUGUGUCUGUGUGUGUGUUACUGCAUGUGUGUGUUUCAGGGGAUUGGUGUAAAAUUAAAAUACAAAUAGAAAGGAAACAUUGGAAUCAUCACUUUUGUUAUCACCAGCUAUACGGUUUAUAGCUCCCACUGUUAACAAACUCCCCCAGGGUGAUGAAACAGAAAGCGCUGAAAAGUACUGCACUUCAUGACUCAGAGAAUAUCUUUUAAGUAAUAUUUCUAAAACACACGGCGAGUCUGCUAUGGAUGUGAAACUCAUUUAAGGUGUUAGAUGAGGAAAACAUUCAUUGCAUACACCAAUGCGGCUUUUCCACCACCAAUAGGCGACAGUUAACAUAUUUGGAAUGCAGCAGCUUGAAGCACAUACGGCGUAUACAUCAAUCCCAAUAAGCCGGCCGAAUGCAUGCUCUGUUUUAAUGGACCUUAAUUCACCAAAUGAACAUUGUGCUGUAUUGCAGAAGACAAUUUACUGGGGAAAUAAAUCAAGUCAGAAGUAGGAUCAUUUUCUCAGACUUCUGUACAAUCUGAGUUCUUUUUUUAAACCUGAGAAGUUGCCCCUCUGCUUACCGGUAGAGAAAAGUUGAAGAAACCUCCACAUUGGCUUCACCUGACAGAACCAGAUUUUGCCACCUGGUGAUCACACAGCCCCCCUGCAAUGAGGACAUAGUACUUCUAGUCUGCAGCCACGUGAGCUCUGUGGUACUGUUCUUACUGCACAAUGUGAUUGUGAGCAUGCUAACAAGCACUCAGCGACAAAGCUAACAUCCUGAUAUGUUAGCAGGAUACAUAAUACACUGUAUGCCCUGUUCACCAUCUUCAUUUAGCAUGUUAGCAUGCAAACAUAUGCACUGAACAUAAAGUAAAGCUGAGGCCGAAUGGAAUGUCAUUUCUUUUGCAGCUAACAAUAAUCUCAGCUCCAGCAGCUUCAUGCCAUUUAUUAAUGUUUCAGGAUGCAUUUGACCAGGCAAGAAGCAUCGAGAAGAGCGCAAGUCUGAGAGCGAGCUGAGGUCUUCUGACAAAUUAAAAAAGGUGAUUACACGCUUCACAUGUUAGACUAACAGGACAAAGGGUCACCCUAAUUUCAUGUCACGUAUUAAGAAUGGAGAGCGCCAGAAUGUCAGGUUUCUCAAAAGGUGACCAUGUGUAAUGGCAAUACUCAUACAUCCGUAGCUUUCUCCUAAGAUAUCACAAUGUAAGACCAUCGUUCUUAUGUUCUUAGAAUCUGUUUCUGCUGGAUGAAUUAUCAACAUAGUGUGUGUGGACGGGCAGAGGGGGACAAAAGGGACGGCUUUUUCAAAUAAAUCCACAUGGAUUCUGUGUCCAUGGCCUUUGACUAGAUCACAUUUGGGGCGUUCACAUGCUGCAGUGAAUGCAAACACAAGCACACCGCAGCUCCAGCUGUUGCUGGUUUGGCCAUGAGAGGAGGCCUCGGAGUCACAACGGGAGCAUGAAGGAGCACAAAGUUACCUUUGAAACCAGUCUAAAACAGCGGAGAUGAAACUGAAGUUCUCCUCCGGCAGGAAAUCACAUGAAGUUGUUCAUAGAAGCCAAAUGUGGAUCUUUUUCUCUGUCUCAACCAGCCAUUUUUCUUCUGCACACAGAGUUUAUUUUACUUGGAGCGGACUCACACACCGGUGGUUUUAAGACAGUGGUAUAAAGAAGCAUAAAGUCCCAUCAAUCACUGCCUCAUUACCACCACCGACCAGUCCCCCCAACUCCUUGUGUGUGUGUGUGUGUGUGUGUGUGUGUGUGUGAGUCUCGGGUCCACUCAAGAAGAGAGAGAGAGAGAGAGAGAGAGAGGGAGAGAGUGAUCUCGCCAGGAUCUAAACUACCUCUUUGAUCUCCCAAAAGCCAAACAGAGGGAGAGAGACGCUCGCCCCUCACAGAGAGGAUUAAAUAUCCCUGAGUCGGGACAACUCCCUCUCUACUCCCCCUCCUCCCUCCAUCCCUCUUUCCUCCGCUCCCUUUCCUCCUCCCGUCUACCCUGUUUAUCACUGAGUUUCCAGAGGGGCUGCGGGGAGAGGAGAGCGAGUGAGGAAGAGGAGGGGGAGGGGGGGGGGGGGGGAGGAGUAGGAGUAAAGGAGAGGCCGUGCCGUUUCAAAAGCCAAGAGGACGUUUAGGUCCACAAGGACUUUGACUGUUUCACCCACACAGGGUCACGGUCUGGAUAGGUCGCCGCUCCUCCCUGGGGCGUAUGUGUGUUUAUCAGGUUGUCAUACAGAAGAGCAGAGAGUAGAGGGGACGGAGGGAUGUUGAAACAGAAAGAGUACAGGACAUCUGAGCUGACAAAACGUCCGUCCCACACACGUAUCUGGGAAAUUCUUUCAGUGAAAAGAAGUCAACAUGCAAUUUACACUACGUUUGGAUAGGAUAUGACUGUUAUUAUUACAGCUAGUGUAAUGUUCAUUCUGAAUAUUCUUAUUUUGUUUUAAUUAGUCUGUAAAAGGAGGGCAAAGGUGUCCUUGUCUAUGAUUAAUCUGAGCAGUAUUUUGGCAAGAUAUUGUAUGGACAGGAGGUUGCAGAUUAUGGUGCACUCUUUAGAACCGCUAUUGGUUUAUUUCCAAGUAUGUUUUCAAAGAGAAGGAAUUUAUCUCAAUCAUGCUGCAUUAUCUUUUGCCAAGCUAGCAAUGAAAUAAAACAAAGUAACUUAGAGGUUUGAGAGGAAACACUGAAACCAGAGCAAACAUACAGGUCCUGUUGCUGUGAUACACCCACCCUGGAACCAGCGCUCGGUUUGGCACUGGUGUAAUGCAGCUUGGGGAAUUUUGUCAGUGAAAUAUUUUGGCGGGGCACAUUGGUGUUAUUAAAUGUAACUGGUGGAGUUAUGGGCGGCACGGUGGCGUGGUGGUUAGAAGUGUUGCCUCACAGCAAGAAGGUCCUGGGUUCGAUUCCGCCCAGUGGCCUUUCCGUGUGGAGUCUGCAUGUUCUCCCCGUGUCUGCGUGGGUUCUCUCCGGGUUCUCCGGCUUCCUCCCACAGUCCAAAGACAUGCUCUGGGGAUCAGGUUGAUUGGUAACUCUAAAUUGCCCGUACGUGUGUGAAUGUGAGUGUGAAUGGUUGUGUGUCUCUGUGUGGCCCUGCGAUUGGCUGGCGACCAGUCCAGGGUGUACCCUGUCUAUCGCCUGAAGUCGGCUGGGAUGGACUCCAGCCCCCCGCGACCCUGCUUGCAGGAUAAGCAGUUGGAUGGAUGGAACAUUAGCAUACUUUUUAAAAAUUGAAUCUACCCAUGCUGUAUAGCAAUAUGCAUUGUUAUAGAUGUAUUGCAAUAGAAACGUGUAAUAGUCCAGUCCAACAUGCCAUCGCAGUGGUGUUUCUGGUCUUUGCAAACACUUAAAGGAAACAUCUGUCUGUUAGAUGCUGACAACUGCCCGCUGUGUGGUACUCUGUGGACCCCAAAGUGUCUCCCCGACUCAAUAAACUAAAUUCAAACAUGACUGCAGAUAGAGCUUGAACAUUACUGUGGUGGACUGCAUUUGUCAUUUCCAUCACACUAGUUGUGCCAGGCAGCUACAUAGCUGCUAUAUGAUUACGUGAUGGGGCUCCAGUGUCGUGCAGGCAGAGAGGAAAUGAGCCAAUGAAGCUGCCAAAAGUAACCUGCUGUUACUGUAACAAGGGACCUUGAUAACACAGUAAUAACAGGCUAAUCGUAUUUGGGUUCAGAAACCACAACAUGCUAAUUCAAUUAGCUUAAUAAGCCCCUGUAGAUAAAGGGCUUGUUUCGCCUGUUGUAAUUGGCUCAAGGUCCCAGGGAGGCAGCACGUCUCAGCAUCAGCCGCCACCAGUAGAGGGGGAACUUCCAGGAUGCCGGUGUACCUGUUGUGUGCGCGCGCGCGUGUCUGAGAGGAGCCGAUGGAGAGACAUCAUACCUGGAGGAUGUAUGCUGCCAAACUUGCACUGGCAAAACCAGUUAAUGUGUCAGUUUCAUAGACUAAACGUCUUUUGAGGCAACACUGUCACACUCAAGUUUCCCCAAACAGCCUCCUCCAAAAGGAGCAAAUCCCCGCGCCCCACUCCUGUAAACUGUGUAUCCUCUUAAAAUCUCACAAUGUGGAAAAAGGGAAAAGUUGCCGGUCCCUUGGAACUCUCUUUAUUUUGUUUUGCCUCCGCAAACACACAACAUAAUGCCAAACAAAACCGCUCUCGGUCUAUUGUCCCCGGUGCUGUGUCUCAGUUCCCUCAGAGCGUCUGUCUCAGCGCCGGGGUCUUUGUGCGGAGACGCACAGAAAGGCACAGCCGCAUUGUUUCACCGGCUGAGGAGAAGAAUGGAACUGUUACAGUGGCGGAGAAUUGGCAGCUGAGCACAUCGAGAAGAUUCUCCACACGGUAUUAGGGAGAGGACUCGCGACGCUCCACCGCCGCGCUGGCCCCCGCUCACCCCUCCCUUUCUCACGCACACACACACACACACACACACAUAUACACAACACAAACACACAUGCACCCGAAAGCUAGACGCAUAGCCUCGGCUCCCUCCCCUUCCCUGUGAAAUCUGCAUUCUCUCUUAACCCUUUUGUUUCUCAGCAGACGAGCUAAUCUGUUUACGGGUGUUUGUGAGGGCACCUUUGUUUGCGCCUCGCACAUAUGCGUCUGCGCACGCACGCACAUUAAUCUGCAGGCCACGAGCCAGCUGACACCAGCAGAAUACAACGCCAAUCCCCACAGACUCCCUCUUGCAAACGCUCACAUGGUCUCUUCUUAACCCCCCCCAACCUUUCUCCCAUGUUCCCAGAUGUAUACGUGUGCAUGCGUCAUGCGACGGCAUGCGCAUUCUACCCAGCUAUAGAAAGUGGGGUACGGUGCGCCUGAUCAGCAGUACCUAAGGCAGAUAAGGGAGGAGGCAGUGU